UCUACGGGCGGCAGCAGUGGGGAAUAUUGGACAAUGGGCGAAAGCCUGAUCCAGCAAUGCCGCGUGAGUGAUGAAGGCCUUAGGGUUGUAAAGCUCUUUUACCAGGGAUGAUAAUGACAGUACCUGGAGAAUAAGCUCCGGCUAACUCCGUGCCAGCAGCCGCGGUAAUA
rnacentral:rRNA from 1 species